ACUCAAAUGAAUUGACGGGGGCCCGCACAAGCGGUGGAGCAUGUGGUUUAAUUCGAUGCAACGCGAAGAACCUUACCUACUCUUGACAUCCUAAGAAUUUUACAGAGAUGUAGAAGUGCCGCAAGGAGCUUAGAGACAGGUGCUGCAUGGCUGUCGUCAGCUCGUGUCGUGAGAUGUUGGGUUAAGUCCCGUAACGAGCGCAACCCCUAUACUUAGUUGCCAGCAUUCAGUUGGGCACUCUAAGUAGACUGCCGGUGAUAAACCGGAGGAAGGUGGGGAUGAUGUCAAGUCAUCAUGGCCCUUAUGAGUAGGGCUACACACGUGCUACAAUGGCCGGUACAAAGGGUAGCGAAGCCGAGAGGUGUAGCCAAUCCCAUCAAAGCCGGUCGUAGUCCGGAUUGAGGUCUGCAACUCGACCUCAUGAAGUUGGAAUCGCUAGUAAUCGUAGAUCAGAACGCUACGGUGAAUACGUUCCCGGGCCUUGUACACACCGCCCGU
rnacentral:rRNA from 1 species